CUGGCUUCGAUGGACACAUCAUUAGCUUGCUCCUCUGACGUUAGCGGCGGACGGGUGAGUAACACGUGGAUAACCUACCUAUAAGACUGGGAUAACUUCGGGAAACCGGAGCUAAUACCGGAUAAUAUAUUGAACCGCAUGGUUCAAUAGUGAAAGACGGUUUUGCUGUCACUUAUAGAUGGAUCCGCGCCGCAUUAGCUAGUUGGUAAGGUAACGGCUUACCAAGGCAACGAUGCGUAGCCGACCUGAGAGGGUGAUCGGCCACACUGGAACUGAGACACGGUCCAGACUCCUACGGGAGGCAGCAGUAGGGAAUCUUCCGCAAUGGGCGAAAGCCUGACGGAGCAACGCCGCGUGAGUGAUGAAGGUCUUCGGAUCGUAAAACUCUGUUAUUAGGGAAGAACAAAUGUGUAAGUAACUAUGCACGUCUUGACGGUACCUAAUCAGAAAGCCACGGCUAACUACGUGCCAGCAGCCGCGGUAAUACGUAGGUGGCAAGCGUUAUCCGGAAUUAUUGGGCGUAAAGCGCGCGUAGGCGGUUUUUUAAGUCUGAUGUGAAAGCCCACGGCUCAACCGUGGAGGGUCAUUGGAAACUGGAAAACUUGAGUGCAGAAGAGGAAAGUGGAAUUCCAUGUGUAGCGGUGAAAUGCGCAGAGAUAUGGAGGAACACCAGUGGCGAAGGCGACUUUCUGGUCUGUAACUGACGCUGAUGUGCGAAAGCGUGGGGAUCAAACAGGAUUAGAUACCCUGGUAGUCCACGCCGUAAACGAUGAGUGCUAAGUGUUAGGGGGUUUCCGCCCCUUAGUGCUGCAGCUAACGCAUUAAGCACUCCGCCUGGGGAGUACGACCGCAAGGUUGAAACUCAAAGGAAUUGACGGGGACCCGCACAAGCGGUGGAGCAUGUGGUUUAAUUCGAAGCAACGCGAAGAACCUUACCAAAUCUUGACAUCCUCUGACCCCUCUAGAGAUAGAGUUUUCCCCUUCGGGGGACAGAGUGACAGGUGGUGCAUGGUUGUCGUCAGCUCGUGUCGUGAGAUGUUGGGUUAAGUCCCGCAACGAGCGCAACCCUUAA
rnacentral:rRNA from 1 species